CAACUCUUAACAGUGGAUAUCUUGGUUCCCACAACGAUGAAGAACGCAGCGAAAUGCGAUACGUAAUGCGAAUUGCAGAAUUCAGUGAAUCAUCAAAUCUUUGAACGCAAGUUGCGCUUUCGAGAUAUCCUUGAAAGCAUGCCUCUU
rnacentral:rRNA from 1 species